UACGAAGGGGGCUAGCGUUGCUCGGAAUCACUGGGCGUAAAGGGCGCGUAGGCGGGUCUUUAAGUCCGGGGUGAAAUCCUGGAGCUCAACUCCAGAACUGCCUUUGAUACUGAAGAUCUUGAGUUCGGGAGAGGUGAGUGGAACUGCGAGUGUAGAGGUGAAAUUCGUAGAUAUUCGCAAGAACACCAGUGGCGAAGGCGGCUCACUGGCCCGAUACUGACGCUGAGGCACGAAAGCGUGGGGAGCAAACAGG
rnacentral:rRNA from 1 species